UUACGGCCACAUCACGCUGAAAAACCGGUUCCCCUACGAUCACCGAAGUUAAGCAAGAUCGAGCCUGGUUAGUUCCUAGAUAGGUAACUGCUUGGGAAUGCCAGGUUCUGUAAG